AACGAACGCUGGCGGCAUGCCUAACACAUGCAAGUCGAACGAGACCUUCGGGUCUAGUGGCGCACGGGUGCGUAACGCGUGGGAACCUGCCCCUAGGUUCGGAAUAACUCCCCGAAAGGGGUGCUAAUACCGGAUAAUGUCUUCGGACCAAAGAUUUAUCGCCUUUGGAUGGGCCCGCGUUGGAUUAGCUAGUUGGUAGGGUAAAAGCCUACCAAGGCGACGAUCCAUAGCUGGUCUGAGAGGAUGAUCAGCCACACUGGGACUGAGACACGGCCCAGACUCCUACGGGAGGCAGCAGUGGGGAAUAUUGGACAAUGGGCGAAAGCCUGAUCCAGCAAUGCCGCGUGAGUGAUGAAGGCCUUAGGGUUGUAAAGCUCUUUUACCCGGGAUGAUAAUGACAGUACCGGGAGAAUAAGCUCCGGCUAACUCUGUG
rnacentral:rRNA from 1 species